rnacentral:rRNA from 1 species
AUUGAACGCUGGCGGCAGGCCUAACACAUGCAAGUCGAACGGCAGCACAGAAGAGCUUGCUCUUUGGGUGGCGAGUGGCGGACGGGUGAGUAACACGUAGGAAUCUACCCAGUAGUGGGGGAUAACCUGGGGAAACCCGAGGCUAAUACCGCAUACGCCCUGAGGGGGAAAGGCGGGGGAGUCUUCGGACCUCGCGCUAUUGGAUGAGCCUGCGUCGGAUUAGCUAGUUGGUGGGGUAAGGGCCCACCAAGGCGACGAUCCGUAGCUGGUCUGAGAGGAUGACCAGUCACACCGGAACUGAGACACGGUCCGGACUCCUACGGGAGGCAGCAGUGGGGAAUAUUGGACAAUGGGCGCAAGCCUGAUCCAGCAAUGCCGCGUGAGUGAAGAAGGCCUUC